rnacentral:rRNA from 1 species
UAGUCCACACCGUAAACGCUGUCUAUUAGCUGUUUGUGGAUUUAAUCCGUGAGUAGCGAAGCUAACGCGAUAAAUAGACCGCCUGGGGAGUACGGCCGCAAGGUUAAAACUCAAAUGAAUUGACGGGGGCCCGCACAAGCGGUGGAGCAUGUGGUUUAAUUCGAUGCAACGCGAAGAACCUUACCUACUCUUGACAUACUGAGAACUUUCCAGAGAUGGAUUGGUGCCUUCGGGAACUCAGAUACAGGUGCUGCAUGGCUGUCGUCAGCUCGUGUCGUGAGAUGUUGGGUUAAGUCCCGCAACGAGCGCAACCCUUGUCCUUAGUUACCAGCAUUAGGUUGGGUACUUUAAGGAGACUGCCGGUGACAAACCGGNGGAAGGUGGGGACGACGUCAAGGUCAUCAUGGCCCUUACGAGUAGGGGCUACGACACGUGCUACAAUGGGCGAGUACAGAGGGGAUGGCAAAC